GGAGGCGUGGCAGAGUGGUUGAAUGCGGCGGUCUCGAAAACCGUUGCCUGCGCAAGCGGGUCAGGGGUUCAAAUCCUCUCGCCUCCGCCA
rnacentral:tRNA from 2 species